rnacentral:rRNA from 1 species
GAUGAACGCUAGCGGCAGGCUUAAUACAUGCAAGUCGAGGGGCAGCACGGUUAGCAAUAACUGGUGGCGACCGGCGCACGGGUGCGUAACACGUAUACAAUCUACCUUAAACAGGGGGAUAGCCUUUCGAAAGAGAGAUUAAUACCCCGUAAUAAAUUGAACGGCAUCGUUUGAUUUUGAAAGCUCCGGCGGUUUGAGAUGAGUAUGCGUCUGAUUAGCUAGUUGGUGAGGUAACGGCUCACCAAGGCGACGAUCAGUAGGGGAUCUGAGAGGACUAACCCCCCACACUGGUACUGAGACACGGACCAGACUCCUACGGGAGGCAGCAGUAAGGAAUAUUGGUCAAUGGAGGCAACUCUGAACCAGCCAUGCCGCGUGCAAGAUGACGGCCCUAUGGGUUGUAAACUGCUUUUAUACAAGAGAAACCCUGGUACGUGUACCAGGUUGAUAGUAUUGUAAGAAUAAGCAUCGGCUAACUUCGUGCCAGCAGCCGCGGUAAU